CCUGGGACUGAGACCCGGCCCAGAUUCCUACGGGAGGCAGCAGUGGGAAUAUUGGACAAUGGGCGAAAGCCUGAUCCAGCAAUACCGAGUGAGUGAUGAAGGCCUUAGGGUUGUAAAGCUCUUUUAGCAAGGAAGAUAAUGACGUUACUUGCAGAAAAAGCCCCGGCUAACUCCGUGCCAGCAGCCGCGGUAAGACGGAGGGGGCUAGCGUUGUUCGGAAUUACUGGGCGUAAAGAGUGCGUAGGCGGUUUAGUAAGUUGGAAGUGAAAGCCCGGGGCUUAACCUCGGAAUUGCUUUCAAAACUACUAAUCUAGAGUGUAGUAGGGGAUGAUGGAAUUCCUAGUGUAGAGGUGAAAUUCUUAGAUAUUAGGAGGAACACCGGUGGCGAAGGCGGUCAUCUGGGCUACAACUGACGCUAAUGCACGAAAGCGUGGGGAGCAAACAGGAUUAGAUACCCUGGUAGUCCACGCCGUAAACGAUGAGUGCUAGAUGUCGGAAGAUUCUCUUUCGGUUUCGCAGCUAACGCAUUAAGCACUCCGCCUGGAGAGUACGGUCGCAAGAUUAAAACUCAAAGGAAUUGACGGGGGCUCGCACAAGCGGUGGAGCAUGCGGUUUAAUUCGAUGUUACGCGAAAAACCUUACCAACCCUUGACAUGGUGGUCGCGGAUCGCAGAGAUGCUUUCCUUCAGCUCGGCUGGGACCGCACACAGGUGUUGCACGGCUGUCGUCAGCUCGUGUCGUGAGAUGUUGGGUUAAGUCCCGCAACGAGCGCAACCCUCAUUCUUAUUUGCCAGCGGGUAAUGCCGGGAACUAUAAGAAAACUGCUGGUGAUAAGCCAGAGGAAGGUGGGGACGACGUCAAGUCAUCAUGGCCCUUACGGGUUGGGCUACACGCGUGCUACAAUGGUGUUUACAGAGGGAAGCAAGACGGCGACGUGGAGCAAAUCCCUAAAAGACAUCUCAGUUCGGAUUGUUCUCUGCAACUCGAGAGCAUGAAGUUGGAAUCGCUAGUAAUCGCGGAUCAGCAUGCCGCGGUGAAUACGUUCUCGGGCCUUGUACACACUGCCCGUCACGCCAUGGGAGUUGGUUUUACUUGUCCUGGCUCAGAACGAAGACUCAAGGGUCGAACAACGGUUGGCUUAUGUCAGAGAUACAUGUUCUGCCAUCUCAAAAAAAAAAAAACAAAA
rnacentral:rRNA from 1 species